rnacentral:lncRNA from 1 species
UCAGAUAUGCAGAAUCAUACAAUGCUAGUCCAUUUUGUGACGGGUUUGUGUCACUCAGCACAAUGUCCUAGAGGCUCAUCCAAUUACCCUUCUUGAGGGGCCACACUGUGGUCUUCCUGGGGUGAUGGUGGCCUUCCUCCUCACCGAGUUGCCCUGCCUCUCCCUCCUCCUUCCCAGUCUUGGUAUUGAUGUCACCCUUUGGGACUCUGGCCCUCACUCCUGUCAUUUUUUGGCAUCGCCGUCUAUUCUGCUUUUCUGCUUUAAUGGUUCCCAUCUCGCACUGGGAGCCUCUGCUCCCCCCCCCCCCCCCCGGGGUUUGAAAUUGGCUGUGGAACAAGGAAGUCCAUGGGCCGGGAAGAAAGCAUGUUGGAAGGAGGAUUCCUGUCAUCCAGGGAAACUAGUCCUUUCACCAGGGGCAGAGAGAAGGUCACGGUCCCUGGGAGGAGGUGAAGACGCUGCCUGGGGCCUUGUUUAUACACUGAGCCCUGCUUUGUGGGCCCAGUAGAUCUACCUCUGCAGACACACCUCCAGAUCACAGCUUGACGCGCAGCUGAGACACCUGCUCCAAACCCUCCAGUGCCCAUUUGUCACGGGCAGACAGAUUUCACAACAGGUAAUUAUAGUCUGUGCUGACCGUACAGGGGCACCUGCUUCAUUAAUUUUUUAAGUCAGUGAUUAUCAAGGAUGAAAUCUGUUGUUAUUUCAAUGUUUAUCAAUGGCCCAUAAUGUGCCAAACACUAUCUUGAUCACCAAAUAAAGAAGCUGUACGGAAAAACAAGAUGGCCCCGGUUACUUGGAGGCUGAGGUGGGGAAGCCAGCGUGACUAGACCCGCGUCCAGGAGCACGGUGUGGUAAGUACAGGGAG